rnacentral:tRNA from 1 species
GCAGUCUGUAGUGUAAGGGUCCUGCACGUCGGCUUGUGGAGCCGAAAGUGGGGGUUCAAUUCCCCUCAGACUGCC